rnacentral:lncRNA from 1 species
GUGGUUGAUCUAGUAGUUAAGAACCAAGAUCUAUUUCGAUCCGUGGAAGAACCUCAAGUUUUCAAUAAGCAAGGCAAGUGGACUUCUCCCUCUGCAUACUCUGUUUGAUCCCAAACAAUACAUUUAAUAAAGUUUAUUCUUUGAUAUAUAUAUAUAUGCAUAAUUUGAUGGGUUACCUAUUUAGAUACCCCUAACCUUUCCAACCUUAUUCCUUGAUCAAACCUGGGUAUUGUACUUUACUUUAGUAGCUAUGUUAUUGCUACAACUUUAAAUUUAUGCAGUCACUCCUGUAUAUGAUGUUAAUGUUCUAAAUGGUAAGAUUACUUUAUUAUUGUUAACCCGAUGGUUAAACAAGAUUAUUGCAUAUUAAUUGGAACAUGGAGUGACCACCCGGGAAAACAGUGCUACCAUGAGAACUAUCAUGGCUCUGGUCUUGGCUAAAUAACUAGGGAAGUCUUAUGUUGGGUGUUGGUCGUGGUCGACCGAAACGGGGGCAUCUGGCAAGCUCUUAUAGUUCCGGCUCAGGCAGAUUGGAUACGGGCAUAGUUCCUAAAGCUUUACCCUGUAGUCUAGACUAUAAGUUGGUUACGGUAGGUGUACCUUAUGCAGGUGACCAUUUCCAGCAUUUGCGUAAUGAGGACUCUAGGGAGAAGCCUCGUAGUGAGACCCUGGCCAUUCACCUCGGAAGUGAAUACGAGUCUAGCUAACCCGGGCUAGAAGGGAAUCGCGACUCAUGGGUAAAGAUGCGCCACCUCUGUAGAGUGUAAAACUGAUAUAACAGCCGUGCUUACGGUUAAGAGCAGCCUGGACUCCUCACAUGAUAAUUGAACUUGAAGAUGGAAAUAAAUCGAGAUCCGAUGAUCUGCCAAUGGUUUUGCUUAAGUGGUUUCACUUAAGUGUUUUUGAUAUACUCUUAUACCUUUGCUUAAUGGGAAUACUUGGGAUUCACACUUAUUAGUAAGACAGGUGUUGUUAAUAAAAUUUUGACCAACUAAAAUGCUUACUGCUCAACCUUAGCCUCACCUUGUUAAACCUACAUUAGUUUUUCCCCCACUUGCUGAGCCCCGACCAUAAGUGAGCUCACCCUUGCUUAAUUUUGAUAAGAAGUUGCAGAUGAAGAUAUGAUGCUGAACUCCAUGGAUGCUAGUCUAGUGAUACCCCCGGUCAUCUUCCUGUGGAUGGAUGUCCUUGUUUCGCUGUACUUUGAUGAAUAAAGGUUAAGACAUUAUGUCUGUUCGAAGUGUAAUAU